GACGAACGCUGCGGCGUGCUUAACACAUGCAAGUCGAACGGAAAGGCCCUGCUUUUGUGGGGUGCUCGAGUGGCGAACGGGUGAGUAACACGUGAGUAACCUGCCCUUGACCUUGGGAUAACCUCAGGAAAAUGGGGCUAAUACCGGAUAGGAGCUCCUGCUGCAUGGUGGGGGGUGGAAAGUUUCGGCGGUUGGGGUUGGACUCGCGGCUUAUCAGCUUGUUGGUGGGGUAGUGGCUUACCAAGGCUUUGACGGGUAGCCGGCCUGAGGGGGUGACCGGCCACAUUGGGACUGAGAUACGGCCCAGACUCCUACGGGAGGCAGCAGUGGGGAAUAUUGCACAAUGGGCGGAAGCCUGAUGCAGCAACGCCGCGUGCGGGAUGACGGCCUUCGGGUUGUAAACCGCUUUCGCCUGUGACGAAGCGUGAGUGACGGUAAUGGGUAAAGAAGCACCGGCUAACUACGUG
rnacentral:rRNA from 1 species